rnacentral:lncRNA from 1 species
AUUAAUCCCUGAGACAAAGGUACUGAAGGCAAGUGGCUGAAGAACAGGCUUGAUUGGACAGAUGACUUGGAGAUGUUCACUGGACAGGGACAGCCUUGUGAAGAUCUUUGUGAAUACCCGACCUCGCAAGCUCCAGAGACUACAAUAAUUCACUUGCCCUAGGUUCCAAAGCCAGCAAGUGGAAAACGGAGACUGGAAUUCCGCCCACAGGACUCCAAAGCCUGUGCAGCAACACCCCACUCCCCCGGCAGGAUCACCAGCAGGACGCGCGGGAGCCAGGAAGUAAGAUCCGUACCUCCAAGGCUCCCAUGGGCCCAAGCCUCCGCAUCAACAGACUGGGAGGGAUUACGUGGGGUCCCAGGGCCGGCUCUGAGGCGGGAAAACUUUCUGGAGGCGGCGGCCUCAGGCCGGAGCGGGCGCACACCGACUGGAGGGGUCGGAUUCAGGGAUGUGGGUGGACCGCAUUUCCCCAUCUUCCCCGCCGCGCACUUCCUCUGGUGCAAUCUCCACACCCCGCGCCGGCCCGCCUGCAACGCGCCCUGGCACUCACCGGUGGGCGAAAUUUCCCCGCCUCCACGUGAGAGCCAGCUCCGCCGUGACCCGGAAGUCCACUUCGAGUCGCCGGCCCACCCUCUCGGGUUCCGGCUUCUUCCGGGUCGCGGCCUUCCGGCGAACGCGGUUACCGUGGAAACCGCGGCCAUGGCGGCACCGCGGCAAAUCCCCAGCCACAUAGUGCGCCUCAAGCCCAGCUGCUCUACAGACUCGUCGUUCACCCGGACGCCGGUGCCCACCGUGUCUCUCGCGUCCCGCGAGCUGCCUGUCUCGUCGUGGCAGGUCACCGAGCCGUCAAGCAAGAAUCUGUGGGAGCAGAUCUGCAAGGAGUAUGAAGCUGAGCAGCCUCCCUUUCCAGAAGGAUAUAAAGUCAAACAGGAGCCUGUGAUUACGGUUGCGCCAGUAGAGGAAAUGCUUUUUCAUGGCUUCAGUGCAGAGCACUAUUUUCCGGUUUCCCAUUUCACCAUGAUCUCACGUACACCCUGUCCUCAAGAUAAAUCGGAAACAAUCAACCCAAAAACAUAGGAAAAGAACCAAAUUCAUUGCCUGUGAUUUUCUGACUGAGUGGUUAUACAACCAAAAUCCAAAGAGGGCAGGGGAGCCAUUCACAGAAUUUUUCUCCAUUCCAUUUGUGGAGGAGCGGCUAAAGCAACACCCACGGCCGCCAAUCCCACUCUCGCUCCUGCUGACAGAAGAGGAAGCAGCCCUCUACAUUCAAUCCUUCUGGAGAGCCUGUGUGGUUCGCUGUGAUCCUGAGAUUCAAGAACUGCGUCAGUGGCAGAAGAAACUUCGCGAGGCCAAGCACAUUCACCAGCAAGUCAAAAUUUUCUGGGCCAAGCAAGAACAAAAAGUGAAAUGCAAAAUGGAGGACGAUGCAGUACCUGCAGCCAAGAUGAAAAUUCCAUCAUCUUAACCAUAGCUAAGACGUAUCUUUGCCCAUUCGAGCACAAGUUACCUUGUGCAAGGAAAAUGUCCAAAUGAUGCUCUCUCUCUUGUGAUUUCUUUAACAAGACUUGGAACAUGUGCAAAUGGAAUCUUUUCUGUACAAGAUAGGAUUCAUUGCAAACAAGCUUUAAUGCAAAUAGUUUAGAAAAGAAAGGACCAGUCUUCACUUUCUGCAUUAUCCCCACAUUUUAUUCAUUCAUCCAGAUUACUUCUUCAGUGCCUCAGGAGUAUUCUUCUACACCAGCUGCUGUUAAAAUGUACAAUGAACUCUAGUCCCAAGGAAUACAGAAGUGCUCUUAUUACCAGUUUUCCCACUUGUGGCCGCCUUUGCAAAGAUCCAUAUUCUAAUUUAAGUCCCCAACCUCUGAAUUUGGUUUUAAGUUUACCUAGUGACUGACUACUCUCUUUAUAAAAAAGACCUUAUACUUAAUGAUCAUUUCCAAAGGAGACCACUCCUUAACUUUUACUGCAAACCCAACAAGAUGAGACACUUAAACCCAGACAGAUGUAACAAAGGAUUUUUGUUGUCUAAGUCCCAAAGUAUUAUAUAGAAAGUUCCUGCUUUUAUGGGUAAACUUAUUACCUUAAUAUGUUCUGUGGUUUGCUGUUAACCAAGAUUCUCCCAUUUAAAAUGCCACAGACCGACCCUCAAGGCAGAUCCGAAAGCCUAGUAGUUAGUUGCACUGGGUUGUUUUGACAAGCUACCACACGUCUUAAGUAAAUAGUAAAGCCUUUAUUUUUGUGUUAAGAACAGCAUUUUGAAAAUAAAACCUAUCUGCCCAUGGUUUACAGCCUUUUAAAUUUGUAAUAUUUAUAUAGUCGUUUAUGGUACAUAUUGAUUGUCUUGAAAUUUCUUUAACUUCUUUUUUAUAAGUAUGCAACAGUCAGCCGGGGGAAGAUAAAGGUACAUUAUAAAACACACAUUAAUGCAUUUAAUAAAUAUAUAUUAUCUAUCAAAAGUGAGCCUUAGCUCUUCAUCAGUUAAUAAAAAGCACCUGCUGAGAACUCCUGUAAGCUGGUAUCAUCAUUGCAUCAUUGGAUUAUAAAAGCCACAAUGCUCCCUUUCAACUUGGGGUUUGGCCUGAGGCGUUCAACUCAGCCUUGGCCAACCGAGACCACCACCCGAGUUCACCCUUGUUCAGUGGGUCCUGACGGCAUCUGGGCUAAAAAAAAAAAAAAAAAAAAGCACUGGGCGCCCAGCUUCCAACAACCAGAUCUUCAACUCUGGAAUCCCUGGAGAUGCACAGAACUUCCCAGUUUGUAAGCUGUCAGAGCUGACUCCCUUCUCUUCCCACCCUCCACCUCCAGUGGGGAGAAAUCCAGGCUAGAAUGACAAUUUUCUAUUAAAAGGGGGGACAAGAGUGGCUGUUAUAGACCCAAAGCGAUUUUAAUAACCAGACACGGAACAAUUUGUGCUUACAAUGAGAGAUUUUGAUCACAGAUGCUCUCCUCCCGGGUCGUUUUCCCCAAACGAGUCUUGUUUACACACGCAGAUCUUAAACAGAGGUGCCAUUUAAUUUUGUCUUUAAACCUUGCUCCACGGGGGGCAGCUGGCUGCUACAGUCUCUUGGCAAAGAUGUCUCUUGAUACUUUUCAGGUGUAGUCAUUAGAAAAAGAACAGCUCUCUCCCUUCUCCUCUCACUCCCGCCUCCGCCCCCAUUAUGAAGGCGUUCAGCCCACUCUCAACCUUAAAAGCCAAAAUAAAACAAAACCCUAAGUGCGAUAACAUAUCAGAUUUAAAAGGGGGGAAAAAGGUCUCAUUAAAUGAGGCUUCCCAUGGCUCAAAGAUGGCUCUGUUCUUAUGCUGGGGAAGCACGACUUUCCAUGGCAGCCAUUUGUGCUGUGCUCACCUUAUAUGCUUGGACAAUAAAGAACUUAGAAAACGAA